AUGUCGACUUGUGUAUGUGGCCUAGCGAGUUGCCUCGUGAGCGCUGAGUGGGAACGGUCGUGUGAGGAGGAGGCGAUUUUGAAUUUGCCUGCUCUGCGCAGCCUAGGGUCUGCGCCCGCCACCGACGUGAUGGCUGCCGCUGGUGCGGCCGUCCCGCUUGGUCGCGGUGUCGCUGGACCGUGGCCGGCGCCGGCCUUGUGCAUCUCCUGCUCUGCUGCCUCCUGGGCUGACAUGACCGAAGCCGACGAGGAGGGCGGCCGGGUUGAGCUCCCUGUUUCCUUAGCGCCGCCGGUCCUCGGGAAGUUCCUGGCGGUGGCUCGUCUGGCUCGGCAGCGGGGCUCUGUGGCCUCGGGCAUGGCUUCUCCGACGGCGCCAUCUCUGCCUCAUGCAACUAGGCUGUAG
rnacentral:rRNA from 1 species